UACGUAGGGGGCUAGCGUUGUCCGGAAUCAUUGGGCGUAAAGAGCGUGUAGGCGGUCCGGUAAGUCCGUUGUGAAAGUCAGGGGCUCAACCCUUGAAUGCCGGCGGAUACUGUCGGGCUAGAGUCCGGAAGAGGCGAGUGGAAUUCCUGGUGUAGCGGUGAAAUGCGCAGAUAUCAGGAGGAACACCGAUUGCGAAGGCAGCUCGCUGGGACGUUACUGACGCUGAGACGCGAAAGCGUGGGGAGCAAACAGG
rnacentral:rRNA from 1 species